GAUGAACGCUGGCGGCGUGCUUAACACAUGCAAGUCGAACGGGAAACUUUUCAUUGAAGCUUCGGCAGAUUUGGUCUGUUUCUAGUGGCGGACGGGUGAGUAACGCGUGGGUAACCUGCCUUAUACAGGGGGAUAACAACCAGAAAUGGUUGCUAAUACCGCAUAAGCGCACAGGACCGCAUGGUCCAGUGUGAAAAACUCCGGUGGUAUAAGAUGGACCCGCGUUGGAUUAGCUAGUUGGCAGGGUAACGGCCUACCAAGGCGACGAUCCAUAGCCGGCCUGAGAGGGUGAACGGCCACAUUGGGACUGAGACACGGCCCAGACUCCUACGGGAGGCAGCAGUGGGGAAUAUUGCACAAUGGGGGAAACCCUGAUGCAGCGACGCCGCGUGAAGGAAGAAGUAUCUCGGUAUGUAAACUUCUAUCAGCAGGGAAGAUAGUGACGGUAC
rnacentral:rRNA from 1 species